ACCCACCACAAGGAGUGGAACUUGGGCCUCUGCCCCCUCAAGGUUACUGUGUCCAUGCAGCCAGGAACCCGCCUCCCUUUUAACUGGCUCCUGGGCCGCUGGAGCGGGAGCUGCUGCUGCAGAGGCGGCUGGCUGCCUGCACGCGCUGAGUUAUGCCUGUGCAGCUGCUUCUGACGCAUCUCAACCCAUCUGAUCCGCUGGGCUCCUGGGCCGCCCCCUCGGCCUGGGAACGCAGGGAGGGAGCCUGGCCGCUGUGGCACAGCAGGACGGAGCUGCAGCCUACUGGGCCCCAGGCCGCACUAGAAGGGCCUGGUUCCUGCUGCCCAGCCAGCUCUGUUCUCUCCCGUGGUCCUGAAUUAACCCAGCUUGAGGAGGCAAAAGACCCAACCAAAACCACUGGGCAAACUGAGGCGGCCAAGCUGAUGGUGACAGAGACUAGACAGGGCUGGGUGCUAAGUCCCAGGCUCCCUUGCCCGUGCUGGGACAUGUUUCCCUCCUCUGGACAAAGGCUUUGCUGCUAAACCAGGCCUGAAUCCCACAACCCCAUGGCUUAAGAACAGAGGAAUAGCCCAAGGGUCCAGCUAGCGCCGUAUCCUGGUUCGGCCAAUACUUCAGAGGCCGUUAGCAAGUGCUCCAGUCCCAGCUCCUGACAGAAGUUUAGCGCCAUACGGGGGCUGGGGUGUUCCUGCCAGUUGUGGCUAAGAUCGAGGGCUGGGCCUCUAUGAACUGAUCUCAUCUUGCUUUUGGCCUUCAGCAUGUCCCCUGGCAAUGAGUUCCACAGGUUGUGCAUCAUGUGACUAAUGUUGCUGGAGGGCGCCCCCUGGUGGUGGAAGCCAGAAUUGCUGCGGCUGCACUAAUGGACUUUCCCAGCCAACCACCAAACCACAGAGGAGACUGAGCCGACUUAUUUCCCAGCUUUUUAUUUAAAAACAAACACGUCCACAUGAGCAGAGUGGGAGCUCCAUCAGCAGCGGGGGAUGGGGGGGACAAGCCCGUCUGGAGCACAGAAGCGGCAAGAAUACAAAACUAGAAACCUUGAGAUUUUUUUUUAAAAAAAAAACAAACCCAAAAACGUAAAAACCUGUACAAAAUGCUCAUUGGUAUAAAUUAAAGGGUGCUACCUCCUGGGGGGCAAGACAUGGCAGGGGGGGAGCAGCACGGGGGGAGUGGCAAAAGAGGUGGUUGGUUUAGCGUCCCAUUUCUCCAGCAGCCCAGCCCCCCUGCCCAGCGGUUAGGGCCUCAAGCCAGCACUCGGGCUAGCCUGCAACCCUGUGGGGCAGGCGUGCGACCCCCCACCCACAGGUGCACGUGUGAUUUGGUGCCUGCUACGCUGCCGAGGCCAGAGCCAGGCGCUGGGAUGGCCGCAGGGGCAGCGUGCGGGCUGAGAUGGGGGCCGGCGCCCACAGCUUGAGGGGUGGUUCUGGGGCUCACAACCACUGCAGCUCAAAGCUCAGAGCUGCCAAUUUCAAUGGGGGGCAGCUGGCACGGGCUCAGCCCCAAGGCCUUGCAUCCCUCCCUCACUGUGGCCCCUGCCCGGCGAGCCCGGGAUCUGCUUCCCCAACGCUCCUCUGCCGGAUUAAACCCCAGGCUGGGCUGGUCCCAAGGCAGCAGGCACCAGCUGCUAGGCUGCGGCUUCCCGGCCCCAGGCACCAGCGAUGCCCAUGGCAGGUGGGGUUGUGCCAGCGCCCAUGGCCUGGCCUUUAAUGCCAGAGGUUGUUUUAUCCUCCACCCAUCCCCACCCGCCGUGGCUUCCCAGCACCUCUUUGGUUAGCUGCCAGGGUGGGACCGCCCCCCCAGGCUGCUCGAGCUCUAACUCACCCCCCCAGACCCAGGCAACGGAACAAAACGCUAUCUGAAACAACCACCAGCGGGGCCCUGUCUGGCAAACAGGCGCCCCAGUAAUUAGCAGCAACAUGAGGUUUGUGAAACCAUGAACCGGUGGAGCGUGGGGAAUGGGCCACGGCUUUGCACCUCCAGCCCAGGGGGCCGGGCAGCCCCGCGGGGUGCCACGUGCCGGAGAUGAGCCGCCAUGGGGGGGCGAGGUAGCUGUGCAGCUAGGGGCAGGGCGCAUGUGGCAAAUGUAACCACGAGCGUGGAAUUUAGGAGCACCCAGAGCUUCACGGGGGGGGGGGGGGAAAUGCUGGCCAAUGACGGGCAGUGCGCGGGGGGGGGUUGCUAAUCUAGGCUCUGCCAGGCCUCAGGGACUGGCACAACUCACAGGGCACGUGGGCGAGGGGUCGGGGGGGCAUCUCUUGGAGAUACCAGAACCCAACUGCAGGCCCAGGCUGUUAAUGGGGGAGAUACACGCCAGCCGCCCCGCGCUUGCCCCUAAAGUGCAGGGGCUGGAUCAGGCAGGGACCAAUCAAGGCACAAGACUCAAAGUCCAGCAGGAUUCCUGCCCAGCCAGGCCCGACCCCCCCUGCACUGGCAGUCGGGGGGGGGGGGGGAAUGGUCUCUUAUUGUUGGGGCCUCAACACCAGCAGUGGGGCAGGAGCCAGAGAACAGCAGUGCCAACUGGGCACCCCCCGCCUGCGCCAGACAUCCAGGGUGGGACCCCCCAGCAGGGGCCAGCCUUGGCCCAUGGCUGGGCUUGACCUGCAGGGCCCCGUGCCCCCCAACAGCCUGUGGCAGGGGAGAACCCGCAGCCUGGUGCGCCCCGAGCCCAGGAAACGCUGGAGUGUGGUGGGGGCAGCGCUGAGACUAGCCCCCCCACCAUGCACCCCAACACUCCAGCUGCUUAGACCCCACCCCGCUCCUCCCUUCCUAGAUACAACACAGGGCAGCAGCGGCCCCGACUCUGCCCUAAGCCCCCCAAGUCCUCCCACGAGGGGGCAAAUGGAGCCGAGAGCAGUGGGGUGGGGAACCCAGCUCAAGGAAGGGGGGUUGCUUUUACGUUACACUGCACUUUUGGCGGUUCCUACACUGCCCCAGCCCCCCCCCCUUUCCUGACCCAGGCCUGGCGCCAGCUGCUUUGGUUGACACGGCGCCUCUGGCUACCUCGAAAGGGCCUGGUCACCGGGGGGGGGGGGGUAGGGGGCUGAUGCUGUGGGGCCCAGCGAUCUUUGGUUAAUGGGACAAAACAUUGAACCUGGUGCGCUACCCACCCCCCGGCCUGUCAGUGGGGUGGGGGGGCAGGAGGUUUAUUGGCUGGGGUGGGGGGACUGGCUGAGGUGUUUGGGGCAGGUAACUAGCUGGAGAGGGGAGGAGGAGGUGUUACCAGGGCAACCUAUUGGCUUAUUUCUAACGAGCUUCCCCCCUCCCCGAGGUUGUUACAAACAGACAAAGUGCUGAGGUGGGUUUUUUGGAGGGGGGGAGGCUUGGCUUUUGAAGGGAUCCCCCCCCCUCCCAUGCAGCUGAAAUGGACAAGGGAUUCACCCGCACCGCCAGGCUGUGCCUGCUGGAGGCGCCAGCCACUCUGGGGCCCCCACCCCCCAUGGACAGGACACACAACCCCCCCCACCUCAGAAGCAAACAGCAGGCCUGCGAGCUGGCGGCAGGGGGUGUUCAGGGGCUGCACAACCAAAGCACCCCAAAAAGCAACUCCACAGAAAAAUCAAACUUAAACCUUCCUCAAAUCGCCCCCACCCCCGCGCAUUCAUGUCACAAAUCAAUACAAUAUUUUUUAAAAACCUGGAUCAAACAAUUUCAACCUAAGACGCCAUCACGGCCAGCGACACCAACCCCCCCUCCCCGCCCCCACCCCCAACACCUCCAAAAGGUGGAACUUAACGCCCAGAACAUGUGAGCAGUAAAAACCACAGCUCUGCCCCAGCCAGGGGGCUGGGAAAGGACCAGGAAACUUUUUUUUUUUUUUAAGGAAACUUACAAAAAAUUCAUGAAAAAGAACAAAAUUCUUCAAACGCAGCCAUUGGGGGAGGGGGGCAGCCAGUCUGCUGCUUUCUCGGGGUUCCCCUGGGGCUCUGUCUGUCCCCAUCCCCCCCCCCCGGCACCCAGGAUCGGCCAAGCACGUCGGAGCCCGUUGGAUUUAAGCACAGUUCCUGAAGCACAAGGACUGGCCACUGCCGAGUCCCAGCGCCAGGGCCUUUGAGGCCACCUGGGUCCCGGGUUCGAGCCCAGCGGCGCCAGCGCCAGGCACCACAAUGCAGAUUAAGGCACCGCAUGGGGCCAGGCGAGGCGCCGGACACCUGCGGAUUUAGGCAUUUUGGAGGCCUGCCCCACCCCUGCGGGUGGGCCCAGCACAGAUUAUGUGGGGCAGCCUUUCCGCCUCCUUUCCUCUGUGUUGGCACAUAUGUGCCUUAGUGUCUAGGGAGGAAAGGUGGAGCCGGGCCAGCUGCUGGGCUGCCCCCAGGAACCAUGCCACUGGGGGGGUGGGGGUAGCUUCCGCUGUUCCCUGCCCCACCCCAGGCUGGCUGGGUGCCCCUCUAGCUUUCUGCUGUAAGGACGGCCAAGGGGUGAACAAGAGAUGGGGUGCUGGGGGGGAAGGGGGUGCAUCCCACCCUGGGGGAGCUCGGCCAUUAAAGUCGGAUCUCCUGGCCCAGGCCCCAGACCCCCCCACCUUGAUAAGGUGGCUUGGGGCAGGGAUGCAGAGGCGCUUAAAUUGCUCUCAGCUUGGGGGGUGGGGGUAGGGUAAUAUUUAACUUGCCAGGCCCUGACCAUUCUUCACCCCAGCUGGAGCAUGGAAGUGAAAAUACCUAACGGGUGUCCACCCCUCCCUACCACCCAGAAUGGACUGGGAUGGGGGGAGAUGCACCCGACACACACACACAGCAUAAAUCACCCAUUGCCCCCUCUACAAACCCCUUGGCCAGAGCUUUCUCCCUCGACCCCCCCCAUCUGCUUCUCUCACUACUACACAACUCACUCACGCAUGCAACAGAAACAUCAUUGAUUGUCAGCUGCAUAAGAGCUAUUUUCUCCAAAGGGCAGGGCAGGCCAGCCCCCAGCCCAGGAGGGUUAGGACUGGGGUGAAGGGCAGAGGUUUCGAUUCUGAAGAAGGGGAGACCAGCAAGGAUGGGGGGCCCAGUAGGUCCCUCGGAGAAGGGGCCGGCCUAUCUGUUUCACAGUCUAUCCAAUGUAACAGAUAUUGGGG